GACGAACGCUGGCGGCGUGCUUAACACAUGCAAGUCGAACGGAAAGGCCCUGCUUUUGUGGGGUGCUCGAGUGGCGAACGGGUGAGUAACACGUGAGUAAACUGCCCCUGACUUUGGGAUAACAUCAGGAAACUGGGGCUAAUACCGGAUAGGAGCUCCUGCUGCAUGGUGGGGGAUGGAAAGUUUCGGCGGUUGGGGAUAGACUCGCGGCUUAUCAGCUUGUUAGUGGGGUAGUGGCGUACGAAGGCUGUGAAGGGUAGCCGGCCUGAGAGGGUGACCGGGCACAUGGGUACUGCGGUACGCAGCAGAAUGCUACGGGACGCAGUAGUGGGGAGUAUUGCACAAUGAGCGGAAGCCAGAGACAGCGGCGUUGCGUGCGUGAUACCGGCCUACGAGUUAAGAACCGCUUUCGCAUGAGACGAGGAGUGAGUGACGGUAAUGGGUAAAGAAGCACCGGCUAACUACGUG
rnacentral:rRNA from 1 species